UACGUAGGGGGCGAGCGUUGUCCGGAGUUACUGGGCGUAAAGCGCUUGUAGGCGGUCCAGCAAGUUUGGGGUGACAGUUGCCGACUUAAUCGGCAAAGUGCCUCAAAGACUGGCGGACUUGAGGGCCACAGAGGGACAUGGAACUCCAGGUGUAGUGGUGAAAUGCGUAGAUAUCUGGAAGAACACCAAAGGCGAAGGCAGUGUCCUGGGUGGUCGCUGACGCUGAGAGGCGAAAGCCAGGGGAGCGAACGGG
rnacentral:rRNA from 1 species